CACCCCCCCUCCAGCUACCUUUGUGUGGCUGCGGUGUUGGGGCUCGUCGCGGUGCGGCGGCUCUUAAAGACAGUGGCGGUCCCGGCGUGGGCUCUACGCGUAGUAACUUGCUUCUCGCGACAGGGUGACGACGGUGGCUUGCCAAAAGCCCGUUGGUUCCAGUCAUAUGGAUCACA
rnacentral:misc_RNA from 1 species